ensembl:misc_RNA Metazoa_SRP Metazoan signal recognition particle RNA
GCCGGGUGUGGUGGUGCAUGCCUGUAAUUCCAGCUACUUAGGAGGCUGAGGCAGGAGAAUCACUUGUACCUGGGAGGCGGAGGUUGCAGUGAGUCAAGAUUGUGCCAUUGCACUCCAGCCUGGGUGACAAAGUGAGACCCUGUCUCUC